CCCCCCCCCCCCCCAAAGUAAGUAUAACAUUACUUUGCUGGGGUGGUUUUGGUGUGUGUCUGAAAGUCCGGUGCAUGACUUUCUGCCAGUCAUUUUUUUUUCCUCAUAAGUAAGAAAAAAGGUGGAAACCCCUAAUUGAAGUAUCUGCUAGAGAACUCUGAAGGGAUGUACAGGCCAGGUGUAUGAUCUUGUGCCAUAGAGAGGCUCUCAUACUGAUGCUUCAUGCCUUGGAAAGGAAAACUCACUUUUUUGUCCUCUUCAGUACAACAGAACUCCCAGGAUACAUGAUUUAAGGUUACUAAUUCAUCCUCUGAUACAGCACUGCAAGACUGUCUGAGUGUUGACUGCUGCUAACGGUUUUUCAAUGUGGAAGGUCAUGGAGCUAACCAUGCAACUGUCUUUGCAGAACGAUGAAGAACAGGAGCAGCUUCUGAAAUUUGGAACAAGGAAGGACCUAGAGAGUUGCCGUACUUCCCUGGAACACGCUCUGGUCUCUCAAUUUCCUUCGUUUGGAGUGAGCAGUCAGCAGUGGCUCACAUAGGGCCCUUCGCACAAGCCCUAGCUGCAGCGCAGCACCUCAGCUCUCCCUUGCGCUCUGAGCUGGCUUGUGAGAGGCAGCUGGUCUCUAGAGAGCCCAAGACCCUGGCUGCAACAUGGCCUAUAGACACUAGGAAAUGUGAAUCCUUCACAGCUGACAGAAAAGCAUAAGAAAUACUGCUAAGUAUGCCAGAGACUGACAUAGAAACCCAGUGUCUGAGACUUGAUCACAUAGAUCCUGUACUAUAUGGCCAGAACAAGCUUCUAAAAAAAAAAAAAAACAAAAAAAAAAAACC